GAGUUGUAUCGCCAUGGCUCCCCAAGGCAUGUAGAUAAAGACCGUGCUGGCUUUCAGUGUCUUGGGAGUUCCAUUUGCUCAAGUAUCUGCCUCUGGCACUGCAGCCACUGGGCCUCGCCAAAUCACAAGGUCCUUGCAAGAGCCACACAGCCAGUGAAGGAGCCCCAGAUGAUCUGCUGAUAUGUGGGAAGGGCCACAGCUUAUGAAAUCUUGUGAACAGAAUGAGAGAGCACAACUUAAACAAGCAGGGAGGAAAUGUGAUAGAAGAAAAUGCGUUGACUAUGGGAUCUGAUGGGCUAGAGUUCAAAGACCACUUGUGUCACUAGCCGCAAUUAUACAGGACAACUGAAUCUGCAACCAAAGAAGCGAAGGCUGGUACUGGUUCCGUGACAUUGCUCACACUGCUAAAGGAGUGCGCUGUGAUUGUAGAGCCAGAGGUACCCAUCUGAGACUCUCUGUUGAGUCACUUUCCUUUUUAAAUUCUUGGGCUCAUGACCCAAACCAACUCACUGCAGACCUACUCUAAAAGACUCCAAAAAGCAAGUAAAGGACUGUUGUAUGGAUGGAGGAGAGGUGAACAAACGUCGGAUCCCUGAACUGGUCAGGACAAGCAGGUGGUAAGAAUUGGGAUGCAAUGAAUCAACAGCAGAAGAUGCAGCAGAGAAGGGAGGAACUGGGGGGUUGCUCCUUCAUCAUGCGUCUGACUCCCAAAAUGCCAAGACUC